GAUGAACGCUGGCGGCGUGCCUAACACAUGCAAGUCGAGCGAUCUUCUUCGGAAGAGAGCGGCGGACGGGUGAGUAACGCGUGGGUAACCUGCCUCAUACACAUGGAUAACAUACCGAAAGGUAUGCUAAUACAAGAUGAUAUAAGAGAUUCGCAUGGAUUUCUUAUCAAAGCUUUUGCGGUGUGAGAUGGACCCGCGUCUGAUUAGCUAGUUGGUAAGGUAAUGGCUUACCAAGGCGACGAUCAGUAGCCGACCUGAGAGGGUGAUCGGCCACAUUGGAACUGAGACACGUUCCAAACUCCUACGGGAGGCAGCAGUGGGGAAUAUUGCACAAUGGGCGAAAGCCUGAUGCAGCAACGCCGCGUGAGCGAUGAAGGCCUUCGGGUCGUAAAGCUCUGUCCUCAAGGAAGAUAAUGACGGUACUUGAGGAGGAAGCCCCGGCUAACUACGUGCCAGCCGCCGCAGUAACAC
rnacentral:rRNA from 1 species